rnacentral:rRNA from 1 species
CUCUCGAUCCGAUCGGGUAGUAGGUAAGCGAUGGGGUGACGCAGGAAGGUAGUCCAGCCCAGGCGAUGGUUGUCCUGGGGUAAGCAUGUAGGGCGGAACGUAGGUAAAUCCGCGUUCUAUUCAGCCUGAGAUGUGAUGCCGAGCCGAUUGUGGUGAAGUGGAUGAUCCUAUGCUGCCGAGAAAAGCCUCUAGUGAGUGUUGUGGCGGCCCGUACCCUAAACCGACUCAGGUGGUCAGGUAGAGAAUACCAAGGCGAUCGGGUGAACUGUGGUUAAGGAACUCGGCAAAUUGCCCCCGUAACUUCGGGAGAAGGGGGACCUCUGCUGGUGAUGGGCUUUACGUUCUGAGCUGGUGGGGGUCGCAGUGGCCAGGGGGAAGCGACUGUUUACUAAAAACACAGGUCCGUGCGAAGUCGUAAGACGAUGUAUACGGACUGACGCCUGCCCGGUGCCGGAACGUUAAGGGGACCGCUUAGCCAACGCGAGUUGGCGAAGGUGAGAACUUAAGCGCCGGUAAACGGCGGUGGUAACUAUAACCAUCCUAAGGUAGCGAAAUUCCUUGUCGGGUAAGUUCCGACCUGCACGAAUGGCGUAACGACUUCCCCGCUGUCUCAACCACAGACCCGGCGAAAUUGCACUACGAGUAAAGAUGCUCGUUUCGCGCAGCAGGACGGAAAGACCCCGGGACCUUCACUACAGCUUGACAUUGGCGUUUGGAACGUCUUGUGUAGGAUAGGUGGGAGACUGGGAAGCUGUCACGCUAGUGAUGGUGGAGUCAUUGGUGAAAUACCACUCUGGUCGUUUUGAACGUCUAACUCUGGUCCGUGAUCCGGAUCGGGGACAGUGUCUGGUGGGUAGUUUAACUGGGGCGGUUGCCUCCUAAAGAGUAACGGAGGCGCCCAAAGGUUCCCUCAGCCUGGUUGGCAAUCAGGUGUUGAGUGUAAGUGCACAAGGGAGCUUGACUGUGAGACUGACAGGUCGAGCAGGAGCGAAAGCUGGGACUAGUGAUCCGGCAUCGGCGUGUGGAAGCGGUGUCGUUCAACGGCUAAAAGGUACCCCGGGGAUAACAGGCUGAUCUUCCCCAAGAGUCCAUAUCGACGGGAUGGUUUGGCACCUCGAUGUCGGCUCGUCGCAUCCUGGGGCUGGAGUAGGUCCCAAGGGUUGGGCUGUUCGCCCAUUAAAGCGGUACGCGAGCUGGGUUUAGAACGUCGCGAGACAGUUCGGUCCCUAUCCGCUGCGCGCGCAGGAGACUUGAAGGGGGCUGUCCCUAGUACGAGAGGACCGGGACGGACGAACCUCUGGUGUGCCAGUUGUACCGCCAGGUGCACGGCUGGUUGGCUACGUUCGGAAGGGAUAACCGCUGAAAGCAUCUAAGCGGGAAGCUCGCCUUGAGAUGAGGUCUCCCACCCCGUGAGGGGGUAAGGCUCCCGGUAGAUCACCGGGUUGAUAGGCCGGAGGUGGAAGCACGGUAACGUGUGGAGCUGACCGGUACUAAUAGGCCGAGGACUUGAUC